rnacentral:rRNA from 1 species
UACGUAGGGUGCAAGCGUUAAUCGGAAUUACUGGGCGUAAAGCGUGCGCAGGCGGUGAUGUAAGACAGAUGUGAAAUCCCCGGGCUCAACCUGGGAACUGCAUUUGUGACUGCAUCGCUGGAGUACGGCAGAGGGGGAUGGAAUUCCGCGUGUAGCAGUGAAAUGCGUAAAUAUGCGGAGGAACACCGAUGGCGAAGGCAAUCCCCUGGGCCUGUACUGACGCUCAUGCACGAAAGCGUGGGGAGCAAACAGG